GUUGGCUGUGGACUUGGAAAAAGUCACAUGAAAACCAUCAUCCAAAGAUAUUGAGGGUAAGGAUCUUUGUGAUGAAAUUUCUAUAAAUGGUGCAGUCUCCGCCUCAGUUUGAGGCUGAAAAGGAUGCUCCAGAACAAGACACUAACUAGCAGCAGUGCUGUUUCAGCUGCCCUGGACCCAAGGUAGAAUUUCUCUCCUGUGUCUGCAGUGAGUGAGACAGAACUGAACUGCUUUGCCUGAAGCAAGUGAAAUGAUGAUUCCUCUCUUGUUGUUUGUAAGCUUUCUGUUUCCAUCUUACAUGUCCC